UAUCCGGAUGUUAAAAAUUUCUACUUUUCAAUACUAUGACUUUAAUAAAACAACAAUAAACAUCAUUGGUGUAGAAAUUUGUCUUUUGAGAAGGAAGAUUGAUCGGGAAUGGAAAGAAGCUUGGGAGAUGGAGAGAAGAGUGAUUAAGGAUGGAAAGAGUAUUAUUUUAUUUUAAGAGAGCAUCUAAGAGGCUGAGAGAGAGACUCGGGAUGGGUUUAGUUUUAGGUGUUCAGAUAAGUGUUCGGAUCUCGUAUUGAGUUCGGGUCAGAUCGGAUUGGAUCAAAUCAUUUAUCUUAAGACUCAAAUCAAUCCAAAAAUAUCUAUAGAUCAGAUCUAGUCGGAUCAAAAUUCAGUAAAUCCAGAUCUGAUAUAGAAAAUAAAACUAGUCUAAUUUUAGAAUCCGACCCGAAUCUGCGGGUCUUUUAAAAUGGUUUGGAUCACAUUUAUACUGAUCGAAUCAGAUCGGAUCAUAGGUCAACCCAACCCAUUUGCAAUCUUAGUCUUUGCAACAGAAUGCAAGAACUCGUACCAACUUCUCUUUAGAAAUAAAACUGAUGCAUAAGAAGCAACUAUAACUUAAAAUGACAAGAAUUAAAUAUAUGUUAAUAAAAAAAGAUAAUGUUUCUUUUCUGAGAGUGAGAGAGAGAGAUCA
rnacentral:lncRNA from 1 species